rnacentral:rRNA from 1 species
GACGAACGCUGGCGGCGUGCUUAACACAUGCAAGUCGAACGGAAAGGCCCUGCUUUUGUGGGGUGCUCGAGUGGCGAAAGGGUGAGUAACACGUGAGUAACCUGCCCUUGACUUUGGGAUAACUUCAGGAAACUGGGGCUAAUACCGGAUAGGAGCUCCUGCUGCAUGGUGGGGGUUGGAAAGUUUCGGCGGUUGGGGAUGGACUCUCGGCUUAUCAGCUUGUUGGUGGGGUAGUGGCUUACCAAGGCUUUGACGGGUAGCCGGCCUGAGAGGGUGACCGGCCACAUUGGGACUGAGAUACGGCCCAGACUCCUACGGGAGGCAGCAGUGGGGAAUAUUGCACAGUGGGCGGAAGCCUGAUGCAGCAGCGCCGCGUGCGGGAUGACGGCCUUCUGGUUGUAAACCGCUUUCGCCUGUGACGAAGCGUGAGUGACGGUAAUGGGUAAAGAAGCACCGGCUAACUACGUG